AUUUCAAUGUGUUCCUCAAAUUCCAGCCACCAAAUAUUCUAUAAGUUUGUUCAUGUUCAAGUGAAUCUACAAAGCACAAAGGGAUCAAUUGAAAAUUAAUUCAGUUCCAUAUCAUGUCUAUAAUACUUUGAUAUGUUUAUUCUGGCAAUUAACUUGUUGUUUCUGUUUUUCUUUAAGGAAUUUCACAUGAUUUAUCUUUGAUUUUGGACCAUCCAUAAGACAUCAUUCCAUUUUAUUUCGAUGUAGAUACAUAAUUUUUGCGAUAUGUUUUUGGAAGAUCAUAAGUGGCUUCUUCAGCAAAUUCAUUCUUAAUAGGCACGAAUUGAAUUUUGUCAAAGUAAUACUUUUUGAAAAUACUUAUGCACAUAUUUUUUGCAUAAUCCUCCUUCUCCUUGUCUCAUGAAGGCUGAGAUUCCAUGGACAUCUGCUUGAGGAAUGGAAAUCCAAUAUAUGAAGAAUGUUGGUCUCUUCGGAUUUAGUUGGAUGAGUUUCUUGUAUAAAACUUUUAACUGCUCAAGAAAAAUCUACAGGCCUAGCCUUUUGAGUAAUUCAUUUCAAUCUCAGAAUCUCGAGAUUCAGUAAGGUUGUCGUCUCUCACUUGCUGUAUAGGCUAAAACAUUCUGCCUGCAAUGGAAAGGUUAUGCAUCUUCAAUUCUCUGUUCAUUUUCUUCCUUCAAAUCAAUUCUCAUUGUUAGACAUUUACGCUCGUCACCAACAUAGCUUCUAUUUUCCCCCCUCCAUGGAAACCGCUGGUAUGAUUGUCACCAACAUUUACGAAGAUGAAGAUGAUGGUGAAGAUCUGAAAGAUGGAUUAUCUGAGCUCAAUGAUACUUCUGCUGAGGAAGAAGAUAGAGUUGCUAAGGCUGAGGAGGAAGAGGUAAGAACUGUGCGUUUUGAUCUAUUUAGUGUAGUAGCAAAUUCACCAAGGAAUGUUUAUGCAACACUUGAUAAGUUUAUGGAAGAAAUUAAGGCAUUAGAUCAUGCACAGAUCAGUCUGGUAUUACACAAUCUUAGCCGGUGUAAAAUGUAUGAAUUGGCACUUCAAUUAUCAAACUGGUUAGAAUUGAAAAAUAUGUUUAAUUUUGAAGAGGAGAGGGAUUACGCAACUCGGCUUAAUUUGAUUGCUAAAAGACGUGGAAUGGCAUUGGCUGAGAAGUAUCUGAAACAGUCAAUUCCGGAGACGUUUAAGGGGGUAACAGUGUAUGUGACUAUGCUGUGUAAUUAUGUUAGCGUUGGUGAUGCGAAGAAAACUGAACAAGUAUUUGAGAAAAUGAGGGAUUUGGGGUUCCCGCUGAGUGGGUUUGCUUGUCAACAGAUGAUAUUGUUGUAUAAGAAAUUUGAUAGGAAGAAGAUAGAGAGUGUGUUAUCGUUAAUGAGGGAAAAUGAUGUGAAGCUGACUCGGUUUACUUACCUGCUGUUGAUUGAUUUAAAAGGGGAGGCUAAUGAUAUGGCAGGGAUGGAGGAGUUGGUUGAAGCUAUGAGAAUUGAUGGUCUGGAGAUAGAUAACUAUAUCCGAGGCGAGUUGGCUAGACACUAUAUUCUUGCAGGUCUCAAUGAGAAGGCAGGGAAAGUUUUGAAGGAGAUGGAAGGGGAAGAUUUGGAGGAAAACCAUGGUGCCUGCAAGCAAUUACUUCCUCUUUACGCGUCUCUUGGUAAGGCUGAUGAGGUUGAAAGGAUAUGGAAAGUUUGUGAAUCAGAUGGUCGUGUUGAUGACUACUUGGCUGCGAUCAGUGCUUUCGGCAAAGUAGGAAGAGUAGAUAAGGCAGAGGACAUAUUUGAAAAGAGGAUUAAGUCUGGGAAGACUAUCUCAUCGAAGGGUUAUGCAGCUCUCUUGAAUGUUUAUGGUGACCAUAAGCUACUUGCAAAAGGUAAAGAUUUGGUAAAAAGAAUGGCAAGUGCUAGUCAACCUAUCAAUCGGUUUGUGUGGGACACUCUUGUGAAGCUCUUCGUAGACGCUGGGGAGGUUGAAAAAGCGGAUUUAGUUUUGCAAAAGGCUAUGCAGCAAGGGGGUAAACAAAUGGAGCCACCAUUAUAUAACUCUUUCCAUGUGAUGAUGGAUCAGUACUCAAUAAGAGGUGAUAUUCAUAACACUGAGAAGAUCUUUCACCAGUUAAGGCAAUCGGGUUAUGUGAUUAAAAUUUGGGAUUACCAAUCUCUUCUUCAGGCUUAUAUCAAAGCCAAAGUUCCGGCUUAUGGGUUAAGAGAGAGGAUGAGGGUUGACAAUUUAAUCCCGAACAAGUUUGUUGCUGAACAAUUGGCACAGAUGGACUCUUUCAAGUUUGUUGCUGAACACUUGGCGCAGAUCGACUCUUUCAAGAACAAUUGGCAACAUCUGAUUUGGUCGAUUGAGAGAGCACAUCCUUCAGAUUGCCACCGGCCUCUUCAAAGUAUAUAUAUGAUUAUAAAGAGAGAAGGCGAAAUCUUUGAAAUUUACAUCUGUGAGUUUUGGAAGCAGAAAAGACUACUAGUUCUGACAAAAUAUGUACUACUAGUUGGAUGAGUUUCCAGUAUGAAACUUUCAACUGCAUCCAUCGUGUUGUUGCAACAUGAUAUAUUGAGCAAUGCAGCAGUAUAACCUGUAUUACUUGCAUUCUUAUGGACGACUUCUUCGGUGGCGUGUUUGGCUUCUUGAUUGGGUGACGUUUGGGGUGUGGGGUUAAAAGAUGAAAAAGUAAUGAAGUUGGAGCUGGUGUCGGUGUUGUUGCUUCGAGCUAUGUCUGUUAAAUUUUGACCUUGGUUAUUGGAACGUAAGAACUUGGAGGAAGUUGUGUUGUUGUUGGUGUUUGAAUAGGCUUGAAUUUGUAAAUAAGUUCACGAGGUGUUGCUGAAGAAUAACCAGGGAUUUGGUGGCCUGUUAUACCAGCUAUGAUGUUUCACUGGUGGGGUUUUAUGCAUUUUCCUAUGACUUGGAUAUUUACACCCAAGUCAUCACUUGCGUGGACUUUUUUUCCCAGAUGGUACCUAACCUUCUUGUCACUUUACUUUGAGUGGCAAUAUAAUAAGAAAACAUUUCAACUCUCACUAUUAAGUUUUAUUAUAUUGUCAGUGAUCUUCUUCAGUCCCAAUCCACCCCUUUCAGUUAUGGUAGACACCAGUUCUAUCCCUUAGGUUAGAGAAGGACCUGUUCCUCCUCCUUGUCUUAUUUCAUGGAUGUCCACCGUUAGGGGUAACUUGUCAUAUGAAGAACAUAUAUUGAGAAGAGUUAGAGGUAUACUUAACAAACUGACAGUGGAGAAAUACACAC